rnacentral:rRNA from 1 species
UUCUGGUUGAUCCCGCCGGACCUGACUGCUAUCGGAUUGAUACUAAGCCAUGCGAGUCUUUGUAGUAAUACAAGGCAGACGGCUCAGUAACACGUAGUCAACCUACCCUAUGGACGAGAAUAAUCUCGGGAAACUGAGCAUAAUUCUUGAUAGAUCAUAAUGCCUGGAACGGUUUACGGUUAAAAUGAUUCGUCGCCAUAGGAUGGGACUGCGGCCUAUCAGCUUAUUGGUGAGGUAAUGGCCCACCAAGGCGAUUACAGGUACGGGCUCUGAGAGGAGAAGCCCGGAGAUGGGUACUGAGACACGGACCCAGGCCCUAUGGGGCGCAGCAGGCGAGAAAACUUUGCAAUGUGCGAAAGCACGACAAGGUUAAUCCGAGUGAUUUCUGCUAAAGAAAUCUUUUGCCAGUCGUAAAACCGCUGGUGAAUAAGGGGUGGGCAAGUUCUGGUGCCAGCAGCCGCGGUAAU